AUUUGUUUAGUGUCUGUCACUGCCCACCCUUCCUUCCAGCACACAUGCACCUUAGAGUAUCAACUCAUGAGAAUGGGGACCUUGUCAGUCUUGUUCGUUGAGGAAUCACAAGCUCCAAAGAAAGUACCUGUCACGUGGUUGGUCCUUAAUAGAUCUUUGUUAAGUCAGUGAAGGAGAGAUGAAAUCCCUAAGAAAUAAUAGAUGAAAUCCCUAAGGAAGAGUACAUCAAGUGAGAACAAGAUAAGGACUAAGCUGUUUAGUAUGUCUUCUACCUUCUAUUUUAGAGGUAGAAGGCAGAAGAGGUUCCAGGGAAGGAAACUGAGAACUGAUGAAGAGAAGUAUGAAGAGGAUAGAGUGCAGAAGAGUGGGAGAGGCAUGUGUCAGUCAAGAGUGAUACUCACUGUUGCCUAAGGCUUCAGAAGUUGAGUAGGAGUAACUGAAUUUGGCAACUUGGAGGUUACUGGUAAUUUUGGGGAAAGUAGUACCAAGAGAUGAGUCUGGGAAAACUCAGAUCUUAAGGAAUUGUGCCAUAAAAGGGGAAAGAGAAUUGUGGCAGCAAGGAAAGUCUUUUAUGAAGGUUGACAGUGAAGGGAAGAAGAAAUUAGGAUAUAUCACCGGGCUUUUCAGAGAUAGACUCAUAGAAGACUCUUUUGCCCCCAAGACAGAAGAGACUUGGUGUUUUGAUAUUGAAGGGAAGAAGAAAUUAGGAUAUAUCACCGGGCUUUUCAGAGAUAGACUCAUAGAAGACUCUUUUGCCCCCAAGACAGAAGAGACUUGGUGUUUUGAUAUGUAGGGACAAACUGCUGGAGGGAAAGAGGAGGAAGACUGAAGAAAGUUUAUGAAUUAAGGUCUCAGAACUUAACUGGGAAGGGAUGAGAUCAACUUUCGAAAGGAAGACAAGAAGGAAAGAGGAAUGGACAGAAAAUAGAAAAUUUGAGGCAAAUGGGAACAACAGAAAGGAAUUCUCAUCAGAUUUUGUUUAGUAAAAUAGGUGUCCCGAGUAUCUGCUGAGAAUGCAUGUGUACAGAGCGCUAUGAGAAAUGCAUUGUGAAACAGGGUUGUGUGGUAAGACCUGCCCCACUUCUUUUGCACAUUCUUUGACCCUUUCUUGACUGAAGGUGAGUGGCCAUGCUCCCUGGAAUUGCCUUCCCAAGAGAGUUCUGAAGGAAGAGCUCUUUAGUUCUUGUUCAAACUCAGAUAGGAGACUGGGUCGAGGGCCAGGUAUCUUUUCUCCAUAGGAAAAUUAGGUUCCAAAGACAGGCCUGGGUGCUCUGGAGUUCCCCAGGAUUGAUAUGAGG
rnacentral:lncRNA from 1 species